rfam:Methylosinus sp. R-45379 contig_28, whole genome shotgun sequence.
GAGGCGCGGUUCGCAAGGGCGGGGGCAGACCCUCUCUCGUCUCGAGCGACGCCACGCCGCCGGCACGGCUUCUCCUUCGUGCGGAGGCAUGUGGGAACACAUGCGAAAGCUGCGCCGAAUUUCCGAGGCUCGCGCGGGGAUAGACUACCCGAAAGGGGAAAACAACCCUGAGCCCGCAGGCGGCGAACAGAAAAGGCGGCCGUGGUCCGGGA